rnacentral:tRNA from 1 species
GGGCUAUUGGCGCAGGCAGGUAGCGCAGCAGGCUUUUAACCUGACAUUUAUGGGAAGAUCUCCCUUAAAAAGAAAGGUCGGGGGUUCAAUUCCCCUAUAGCCCGCCA